rnacentral:rRNA from 1 species
UACGUAGGUGACAAGCGUUGUCCGGAUUACUGGGCGUAAAGAGCGCGCAGGCGGUCGUUCAAGUCGAGUGUGAAAGCCCCCGGCUCAACUGGGGAGGGUCAUUCGAUACUGAUCGACUCGAAGGCAGGAGAGGGAAGUGGAAUCCCGGUGUAGUGGUGAAAUGCGUAGAUAUCGGGAGGAACACCAGUGGCGAAGGCGGCUCACUGGACCGGUACUGACGCUGAGGCGCGGAAAGCGUGGGGAGCAAAGGG